CGUAGGUGGCAAGCGUUGUCCGGACUUAUUGGGUUUAAAGGGUGCGUAGGCGGUGAUUUAAGUCAGUGGUGAAAUACUUCAGCUUAACUGGAGAGGUGCCAUUGGUACUGGGUCACUUGAGUACUGAUGAGGUAGGCGGAAUGGACGGUGUAGCGGUGAAAUGCUAGAUAUCGUCCAGAACACCGAUAGCGAAGGCAGCUUACUAAGGAGUAACUGACGCUGAGGCACGAAAGUGUGGGGAUCAAACAGGAUUAGAUACCCUGGUAGUCCACACUGUAAACGAUGAUCACUCGAUGUUGGCGAUACACAGCCAGCGUCUUAGCAAAAGCGAUAAGUGAUCCACCUGGGGAGUACGCCGGCAACGGUG
rnacentral:rRNA from 1 species